AGACCGAUAGCGAACAAGUACAGUGAUGGAAAGAUGAAAAGCACUUUGAAAAGAGAGUGAAACAGCACGUGAAAUUGUUGAAAGGGAAGGGCUUGCAAGCAGACACGGUUUUACCGGGCCAGCGUCGAAAAGGGGGGAGGAACAAGAACUCGAGAAUGUGGCGCGCACCUUCGGGCGCGCGUGUUAUAGCUCGUGUUGACGCCUCCAUCCCUUUUCGGGGCCUGCGAUUCUAGGACGCUGGCGUAAUGGUUGCAAGCNGCCCGUCUUGAAACACGGACCAAG
rnacentral:rRNA from 1 species